rnacentral:rRNA from 1 species
ACUGGGGCGGUUGCCUCCUAAAAAGUAACGGAGGCGUCCAAAGGUUCCCUCAACGCGUAUAGAAAUCGCGGGUAGAGUAUAAAGGCAUAAGGGAGCUUAACUGCGAGAGAGACAUUUCGAGCAGAUGCGAAAGCAGGGCUUAGUGAUCCUGCGGUCCCGUGUGAGAGGGCCGUGGCUUAACGGCUAAAAGGUACCCCGGGGAUAACAGGCUUAUCUCCUCCGAGAGUUCCUAUCGACGAGGAGGUUUGGCACCUCGAUGUCGGCUCGUCGCAUCCUGGGGGGGUAGCCCCUCCCAAGGGUUAGUCUGUUCGCCUAUUAAAGCGGCACGCGAGCUGGGUUUAAACCGUCGUAAGACAGGUUGGUCCUUAUCCGCCGUAGACGCAAGAGAUUUGAGGGGAGCUGUCCCUAGUACGAGAGGACCGGGAUGGACAGACCUCUGGUGUACCAGUUGUCACGUCAGUGGCAUCGCUGGGUAGCUAUGUCUGGAUGGGAUAACCGCUGAAAGCAUCUAAGUGGGAAGCCCACCCCAAGAUUAGAUCUCUCACUCACGUAAGUGAGGUAAGGCUCCUGGGAGACUACCAGGUUGAUAGGCCAGAUGUGUAAGCACGGUAACGUGUUUAGCUUACUGGUACUAAUAAGCCGAGGGUUUGACAUG